rnacentral:rRNA from 1 species
UACGUAGGGUGCAAGCGUUUAAUCGGAAUUACUGGGCGUAAAGCGUGCGCAGGCGGUCCGUUAAGACAGAUGUGAAAUCCCCGGGCUUUAACCUGGGGAACUGCAUUUGUGACUGGCGGACUCGAGUAUGGCAGAGGGGGGGUAGAAUUCCACGUGUAGCAGUGAAAUGGCGUAGAGAUGUGGAGGAAUACCGAUGGCGAAGGCAGCCCCCCUGGGCCAAUACUGACGCUCAUGCACGAAAGCGUGGGGAGCAAACAG